ACCUCGGGUGACAGGGAGACAGGUGGUGCGAUGGUUGUCGUCAGCUCGUGUCGUGAGAUGUUGGGUUAAGUCCCGCAACGAGCGCAACCCCUACGUUUAGUUGCUAACAGGUGAAGCUGAGCACUCUAGACGAACUGCCGCUGACAAAACGGAGGAAGGUGGGGAUGACGUCAAAUCAUCAUGCCCCUUAUGUUCUGGGCUACACACGUGCUACAAUGGCCGGUACAGACGGAGGCGAAGCCGCGAGGUGGAGCAAAUCCUAAAAAGCCGGUCUCAGUUCGGAUUGCAGGCUGCAAUUCGCCUGCAUGAAGUCGGAAUCGCUAGUAAUCGCAGGUCAGCAUACUGCGGUGAAUACGUUCCCGGGCCUU
rnacentral:rRNA from 1 species